rnacentral:rRNA from 1 species
CCUACGGGGAGCAGCAGUGGGGAAUAUUGGACAAUGGGCGAAAGCCUGAUCCAGCCAUGCCGCGUGUGUGAAGAAGGCCUUCGGGUUGUAAAGCACUUUCAGUGGGGAAGAAAGCCUUGGGGCUAAUACCCUCGAGGAAGGACAUCACCCACAGAAGAAGCACCGGCUAACUCCGUGCCAGCAGCCGCGGUAAUACGGAGGGUGCGAGCGUUAAUCGGAAUUACUGGGCGUAAAGCGCGCGUAGGCGGUCUGAUAAGCCGGUUGUGAAAGCCCCGGGCUCAACCUGGGAACGGCAUCCGGAACUGUCAGGCUAGAGUGCAGGAGAGGAAGGUAGAAUUCCCGGUGUAGCGGUGAAAUGCGUAGAGAUCGGGUGGAAUACCAGUGGCGAAGGCGGCCUUCUGGACUGACACUGACGCUGAGGUGCGAAAGCGUGGGUAGCAAACAGGAUUAGAUACCCUAGUAGUC